UACAGAGGGUGCAAGCGUUAAUCGGAGUUACUGGGCGUAAAGGGCGCGUAGGCGGUUGAAUAAGUGAGAUGUGAAAGCCCUGGGCUUAACCUAGGAAUUGCAUCUUAAACUGUUCGGCUAGAGUAUUGUAGAGGGUAGUGGAAUUUCCGGUGUAGCGGUGAAAUGCGCAGAUAUCAGGAGGAACACCGGUGGCGAAGGCGGGUCUCUGGGCUGAUACUGACGCUGAGGAGCGAAAGCGUGGGGAGCGAACAGG
rnacentral:rRNA from 1 species